UGGAAGUAAAAGUCGUAACAAGGUUUCCGUAGGUGAACCUGCGGAAGGAUCAUUACCGAGUUUUCGAGCUCCGGCUCGACUCUCCCACCCUUUGUGAACGUACCUCUGUUGCUUUGGCGGCUCCGGCCGCCAAAGGACCUUCAAACUCCAGUCAGUAAACGCAGACGUCUGAUAAACAAGUUAAUAAACUAAAACUUUCAACAACGGAUCUCUUGGUUCUGGCAUCGAUGAAGAACGCAGCGAAAUGCGAUAAGUAAUGUGAAUUGCAGAAUUCAGUGAAUCAUCGAAUCUUUGAACGCACAUUGCGCCCCUUGGUAUUCCGGGGGGCAUGCCUGUUCGAGCGUCAUUACAACCCUCAAGCUCUGCUUGGAAUUGGGCACCGUCCUCACUGCGGACGCGCCUCAAAGACCUCGGCGGUGGCUGUUCAGCCCUCAAGCGUAGUAGAAUACACCUCGCUUUGGAGCGGUUGGCGUCGCCCGCCGGACGAACCUUCUGAACUUUUCUCAAGGUUGACCUCGGAUCAGGUAGGGAUACCCGCUGAACUUAAGCAUAUCAAUAAGCGGAGGA
rnacentral:rRNA from 1 species